GGGGAAUAUUGGACAAUGGGCGCAAGCCUGAUCCAGCCAUGCCGCGUGAGUGAAGAAGGCCUUCGGGUUGUAAAGCUCUUUCGGCGGGGACGAAAUGGUUCGUGCUAAUACCACGGACUGAUGACGGUACCCGCCGAAGAAGCACCGGCUAACUACGUGCCAGCAGCCGCGGUAAUACGUAGGUGGCAAGCGUUGUCCGGAUUUAUUGGGUUUAAAGGGUGCGUAGGUGGCCCUGUAAGUCAGUGGUGAAAUAUCUCAGCUUAACUGAGAGGGUGCCAUUGAUACUGCAGGGCUUGAGUACAGAUGAGGUAGGCGGAAUUGACGGUGUAGCGGUGAAAUGCAUAGAUAUCGUCAAGAACACCGAUAGCGAAGGCAGCUUACCAAGCUGUAACUGACACUGAGGCACGAAAGUGUGGGGAUCAAAC
rnacentral:rRNA from 1 species